GACGAACGCUGGCGGCGUGCUUAACACAUGCAAGUCGAACGGAAAGGCCCUGCUUGCAGGGUACUCGAGUGGCGAACGGGUGAGUAACACGUGGGUUAUCUGCCCUGCACUUCGGGAUAAGCCUGGGAAGCUGGGUCUAAUACCGGAUAGUAGCCAUUUUUAGUGUGAUGGUUGGAAAGUUUUUUCGGUGUAGGCUGAGCUCGCGGCCUAUCAGCUCGUUGGUGGGGUAAUGGCCUACCAAGGCGGCGACGGGUAGCCGGCCUGAGGGAGUGGACGGCCACAUUGGGACUGAGAUACGGCCCAGACUCCUACGGGAGGCAGCAGUGGGGAAUAUUGCACAAUGGGCGAAAGCCUGAUGCAGAGACGCCGCGUGGGGGAUGACGGCCUUCGGGUUGUAAACUCCUUGCGCUAGGGACGAAGCUUUUUGUGACGGUGCCUAGAGAAGAAGCACCGGCUAACUACGUG
rnacentral:rRNA from 1 species